GUGACGCCAUUUUAAUUACAGUUGAGGGUUGUGAAGUAAAACUGAUAUUAAACUUUCAAAUAAUAAAUUAGUGAAAUAAUAAGUGUUAAAAAGUGGGGAAAAAAUUAUUUCACUAAUAAUUUUAUUUCUUUUUGGAGAAAUGGAAGUAAUUAAAGAAUAUCAUUUGCUUUAAACUCCAUCGUGGAAGUUGCAGAUGCUGUGUUAGUGGAGCUGUUCACCGCGAACGCUGAUAUAUGUGUCACAUAAUUAUUUCCGGACAAUUAUAGAUACACUUGGAAUGAUAAUAGCUCGAGGUUUAAAGUCAACUUCUGGGCAGAUGCCGUUCCAAGAUCUCAGAAAGUCAUUUCCGGUGUUUUGAGGAUCAUGUCCGAGCUACGCAUGCUGUAGGUCCAAGUUGGAGUCUGGAUUAGCCUGGGGUAUCUGCAGUAGAUCCAGUGUCUAAUCGUAGCAUCAGAGUGUAUACGAGAUGCGGGUCAGACUGUAAAUACAUACAUACACAUACCACAAAUACGUAUAUAUAUAUUUAUUUAUUUAUGUGUGUGGAUUAUUCUCAACCCCAGUUAGAGAAGAUCAUCAAGCAGCUCACAGAGAUCGAUGUGUGUCAAAAUCUUAGUCGAUUGGUUGAGUGAUUAACGAGAGUCUAAGUACAACUAAUGCCCCGGAUAAGACAGCUCUAGAACAAACAAUGUCGUGUGUCGUGGGCGGGUACGCCGGCAUCAUGUCGUCG